GGGCUCUGUGAACAGUGUCACUCUAAAAAUAACAGGCUGUGCCCAGAAUAGCAAACUUUCUCCUUUUUCCUGCAAAAGACGACUUCUCAGCUCCUUGGAGGGGUCGGUACAAGGUGAGAGCCAUAGAAAGAUGGCAACGAAAAAAAAAGACACAUUCUGCAAUGGGUUGAAUGGGGUCUCCCUGACAUUUACAUCACCCAGAACCUCAAAAUAUGACCUUAUCUGGAAACAGGGUCUUUUGAGAUGUCAUGGAUGCUGCCGCCAUCAGCAGAGAGACAGAAAGGUCUGCCCUCUGGAAGUCAGCUGAAGCCCAGUGCAAAGUGCAGCUGGUCAAGACAUUGUGGUUCUCAAUCAGGAACCCUUUGCAAUGUCAGCCUCCCCUGGGAUGAGUGAGCAAGCUUGGUGGGAAUAUGGGGGUGGUGAUUAUGGUCUCUCCUCUGGGACAUUCAGAAUCAAUCUGUCCGUCACAAAAUCGAA
rnacentral:lncRNA from 1 species